rnacentral:lncRNA from 1 species
UGUAGUUAUACCCCUAUCUUCCACCGUCUUUUUCUUCUUCUUCUUCUUUUGUUUUUUUUUUUUAAACUGAAGUCUAGUUAGAACCUCAGCAUACUGAAAAAUAACACUUCCUUCUCUCUUUUGUUUUGGAAAAACUAAACUCCAUAGGAAUCAAAAAUUCGAAGGCUUCAGAAAUAUUAGCUGAUUCAGCAGAAAAUGAUCCCUUCGAAAAUGCAAAGGCUCACCCUUUACUUGGUCUUUUUUUUUUUUUUUUUUAAAUCAAUUCCUGUCUCCCCUCCUCCUAAUCGGAACCCCCUUUUAUGGCUGGUUGAAUGUAGAGGGUCACCUGUCUCUUUUGGUGGUACCUUGUUCAUAGAGGGUCAUUGUCUAGAAAGUUCGACUUCGCAGCAACAACAGGUAAUUUCUGGAACACCAGUUCUGAGGGCAGUUGAGAGGCAGGUCCCCCUUGUAAGGACCAGCCUGGGGCUGCGUUGCCCGGACCACAGAUGGGAGGGGCUGGUUUCCAAAAGCAACACAGGCGGGGAAAAGUUCCUACUGCUUUUCUUCAACAGGGAAAUGUCAAAUGGUGAAGUUUAGAAUUACACUAUAUAAAUUUACUAGAAUUAGGUAAAAACAAACUGACAUUUGAAAAUUGAGGCUGAAAAUAGUUGAUUUUGGCUUUUAAUUGGCUUUUAAAUUUUCUUUUUUAUUUUGAGACAAGAUGAAAGCUUUGAUGAUGUGGAAUGUGGAAUUUUUCGGAAAACGAUCCUGUCAGAAGGAGCUACUCACUGCUGUGUCUGCUGUAACAAGGCUAAGUGGGAUGGAAGGAGAUAACCGAGGCAAAUGUGUGCCACUGGCCAGGAAUCAGGUUCUCACUUGACAUGUGGCUGCCAUUUUGGAAAAUGGCAACUGCACUGUCAUUGUUUAAUUUUAUCAUUAUUCUAUAAUGUGUCUUAAAAAUUGAUAAUUGUUUCCCUCAUUCACACUGGAAUAUUGCCCAGAUGCGGAAACUCUUGUGAUAUAGGAUGCAUUGUGCAUGAGUUUGAGAACUUUUAGGUGCAAUAAAGACCUCCUAAGUGUAACUGGUUUAGCCAAGAAGGACACUUAAUUCAUCUCAUAUGUCAAUGAAUUUGGAAACAGGAAGUUCCACCAUUGGUUCAUUCUGUGACUCAACCGUGUGAGGCCUGCAGCUCGCCUUCUAGGCUCUCAGCUUCCCGUUUGGUUGCAGGGGGCCUGCCUCUGCGGAGUCGGCAUGCUUCCUGGGACAGCUGCCAAGGCAGGAAGAAUGGCAGGACUCCCCCUGUGCACCUCUGCCCUUGGAAAAGAAAGUCUGCCCCAAAGGCCUUUGACCAGCUGUAGGCUGUGGUGGGCGGCUGGUGACAGGUGGGCUCUUGUUGCAAGGAAGCCAAGGAGGGGAAAGUGACUAUUGAGCAGACGACAGUCAGCCACACGUUACUCUUUGAAACGAACUUUCAAGCAAUAUCAUUGAGCCAACAUGCCUAGUCUUCCAAAGUGUUUUGUUCAGGGCUGUGAGUUAAGUAUGAUCUAGAUCCAAGAAAACCUUGAUAUCUACAUUUUUUUCCUUUUGAAGAUCACACAAUACAGUUCUCUGACAGUUGGUGUGAAAUAAAUGUCGAAUGGUUUACUACUUGUUUUAUUUAUAAUAUUAUAAACUGCGUAGAGUUUAGUUCCUUACUUCCUUUUUAUUAAGCCCCUCCCCUCCUUUUGGGAGACUUCCUUAAAAAUAUUGACACAGG